rnacentral:rRNA from 1 species
GAUGAACGCUGGCGGCGUGCCUAAUACAUGCAAGUCGAGCGAACAGACGAGGAGCUUGCUCCUCUGACGUUAGCGGCGGACGGGUGAGUAACACGUGGAUAACCUACCUAUAUGACUGGGAUAACUUCGGGAAACCGGAGCUAAUACCGGAUAAUAUAUUGAACCGCAUGGUUCAAUAGUGAAAGACGGUUUUGCUGUCACUUAUAGAUGGAUCCGCGCCGCAUUAGCUAGUUGGUAAGGUAACGGCUUACCAAGGCGACGAUGCGUAGCCGACCUGAGAGGGUGAUCGGCCACACUGGAACUGAGACACGGUCCAGACUCCUACGGGAGGCAGCAGUAGGGAAUCUUCCGCAAUGGGCGAAAGCCUGACGGAGCAACGCCGCGUGAGUGAUGAAGGUCUUCGGAUCGUAAAGCUCUGUUAUUAGGGAAGAACAAAUGUGUGAGUAACUAUGCACGUCUUGACGGUACCUAAUCAGAAAGCCCCGGCUAACUACGUG